GCCUGGGUGGCUCAGUCGGUUAAGCGUCCGACUUCGGCUCAGGUCACGAUCUCGCGGUCCGUGAGUUCGAGCCCCGCCUCGGGCU
rnacentral:tRNA from 1 species